rnacentral:rRNA from 1 species
CCUACGUGGGGCUGCAGUGGGGAAUAUUGGACAAUGGGCGAAAGCCUGAUCCAGCCAUGCCGCGUGUGUGAAGAAGGCCUUCGGGUUGUAAAGCACUUUCAGUGGGGAAGAAAGCCUUGGGGCUAAUACCCUCGAGGAAGGACAUCACCCACAGAAGAAGCACCGGCUAACUCCGUGCCAGCAGCCGCGGUAAUACGGAGGGUGCGAGCGUUAAUCGGAAUUACUGGGCGUAAAGCGCGCGUAGGCGGUCUGAUAAGCCGGUUGGGAAAGCCCCGGGCUCAACCUGGGAACGGCAUCCGGAACUGUCAGGCUAGAGUGCAGGAGAGGAAGGUAGAAUUCCCGGUGUAGCGGUGAAAUGCGUAGAGAUCGGGAGGAAUACCAGUGGCGAAGGCGGCCUUCUGGACUGACACUGACGCUGAGGUGCGAAAGCGUGGGUAGCAAACAGGAUUAGAUACCCCAGUAGUC